AGCAUAUCAAUAAGCGGAGGAAAAGAAACCAACAGGGAUUGCCUCAGUAACGGCGAGUGAAGCGGCAGCAGCUCAGAUUUGGAAUCUGGCCCCGUGGUGGGGCCCGAGUUGUAGUCUGUAGAGGAUGCUUCGGGGGCCGACCGGGCCCAAGUUCCUUGGAACAGGACGUCAGAGAGGGUGAGAGUCCCGUCUGUGGCCCGGAUCCUCGCCCCUGGGUGAAGCUCCCUCGACGAGUCGAGUUGUUUGGGAAUGCAGCUCAAACCGGGUGGUAAAUCUCAUCUAAAGCUAAAUACCGGCUGGAGACCGAUAGCGCACAAGUAGAGUGAUCGAAAGAUGAAAAGCACUUUGAAAAGAGAGUUAAACAGCACGUGAAAUUGUUGAAAGGGAAGCGCUCGCGAUCAGACCUGCCUGCGGUUCCUCAGCCGACGGACUUCCCCGCCGGCGCAUUGGGCCGUGGGCAGGCCAGCAUCGGCUUGGGCGGCGGAAGAAGGACCCUCGGGAUGUGGCUCCCUUCGGGGAGCGUUAUAGCCGGGGGUGUGACGCCGCCGCCUGGACCGAGGCCCGCGCUCCGGCAAGGAUGCUGGCGUAAUGGUCGCCAGCGACCCGUCUUGAAACACGGACCAAGGAGUCUAACAUCCACGCGAGUGUUUGGGUGUCAAACCCCCGACGCGUAAUGAAAGUGAACGGAGGUGGGAACCCGCAGGGGAUGCACCAUCGACCGAUCCUGAAGUUCACGGAUGGAUUUGAGUACGAGCGUGGCUGUUGGGACCCGAAAGAUGGUGAACUAUGCCUGAAUAGGGUGAAGCCAGAGGAAACUCUGGUGGAGGCUCGCAGCGGUUCUGACGUGCAAAUCGAUCGUCAAAUUUGGGUAUAGGGGCGAAAGACUAAUCGAACCAUCUAGUAGCUGGUUCCUGCCGAAGUUUCCCUCAGGAUAGCAGUAACGCGUGGCAGUUUUAUGAGGUAAAGCGAAUGAUUAGAGGCCUUGGGGUUGAAACAACCUUAACCUAUUCUCAAACUUUGAAUAUGUAAGAAGUCCUUGUUGCUUGGUUGAACGUGGACAUUCGAAUGUACCGUUACUAGUGGGCCAUUUUUGGUAAGCAGAACUGGCGAUGCGGGAUGAACCGGACGCGGGGUUAAGGUGCCGGAAUGCACGCUCAUCAGACACCACAAAAGGUGUUGGUUCAUCUAGACAGCAGGACGGUGGCCAUGGAAGUCGGAACCCGCUAAGGAGUGUGUAACAACUCACCUGCCGAAUGAACUAGCCCUGAAAAUGGAUGGCGCUCAAGCGUGCUACCCAUACCCCGCCGCCAGGGUAAGAACGAGGCCCUGGCGAGUAGGCAGGCGUGGGGGUCCGUGACGAAGCCUUGGGAGCGAUCCCGGGUCGAACCACCUCUAGUGCAG
rnacentral:rRNA from 1 species